rnacentral:rRNA from 1 species
CGCUGAAGCUUGGUGCUUGCACUGGGUGGAUGAGUGGCGAACGGGUGAGUAAUACGUGAGUAACCUGCCCUUGACUCUGGGAUAAGCCUGGGAAACUGGGUCUAAUACUGGAUACGACGGCGCAUCGCAUGGUGUGUUGUGGAAAGGGUUUUACUGGUUUUGGAUGGGCUCACGGCCUAUCAGCUUGUUGGUGGGGUAAUGGCUCACCAAGGCGACGACGGGUAGCCGGCCUGAGAGGGUGACCGGCCACACUGGGACUGAGACACGGCCCAGACUCCUACGGGAGGCAGCAGUGGGGAAUAUUGCACAAUGGGCGGAAGCCUGAUGCAGCGACGCCGCGUGAGGGAUGACGGCCUUCGGGUUGUAAACCUCUUUCAGCACGGAAGAAGCGAGAGUGACGGUACGUGCAGAAGAAGCGCCGGCUAACUACGUGCCAGCAGCCGCGGUAAUACGUAGGGCGCAAGCGUUGUCCGGAAUUAUUGGGCGUAAAGAGCUCGUAGGCGGUUUGUCGCGUCUGCUGUGAAAGCCCGGGGCUUAACCCCGGGUGUGCAGUGGGUACGGGCAGACUUGAGUGCAGUAGGGGAGACUGGAAUUCCUGGUGUAGCGGUGAAAUGCGCAGAUAUCAGGAGGAACACCGAUGGCGAAGGCAGGUCUCUGGGCUGUUACUGACGCUGAGGAGCGAAAGCAUGGGGAGCGAACAGGAUUAGAUACCCUGGUAGUCCAUGCCGUAAACGUUGGGCACUAGGUGUGGGGAACAUUCCACGUUUUCCGCGCCGUAGCU